AAGAAAAUCACACAUAUAUACUAUUACGUACCUCAUCAAUCGAUAUGGCAUGCUACCAGGAGAAUAGUGGCAGAGGACUAUCGGGAAGCACCAAGGUGUUGAUAUGUCUGUGGCUGCUGGCGCUAUUUGUCCGGUCAUCUGAUGCAGAAGAGGUGGGACUGAAAGGCUGUGAGUUCAAUGACUGGAGCAAGACGUGGAACAAGAUAUGCGUGAAACGUGGCACUUGCAACACGCCCUGCAGAGCCGAGGGCUGGGAAAAAGGCGCAUGCUUCUUCAUCAAUCACUGCCUCUGCUACAAGAACUGCUCCCCGUCCCCGGCUACUUGAUUCAUGUACUCACUAUUGUGAUGUGAGUGCAUAUAUACUCCCUUAGUUGUCUUAGUUCAUGUUGUCUUAGUUCAACAUUUUGUUUUAGUCCAACAUGCAUGUAUGGCUUAAGACAAGAGUAAAUGGUCUUAUAUAGAUGCAGGGCGUACAUGCAUGCGUUGUGACUACAUUUUUUUGCAAAAUAAAGUUGGGGCAGUAUUCAUCAACUGCAAUCUUUUA